GUGGAUUAGAUACCCUGGUAGUCCACGCUGUAAACGGUGGGUACUAGGUGUGGGGGACAUUCCACGUUCUCUGUGCCGUAGCUAACGCAUUAAGUACCCCGCCUGGGGAGUACGGCCGCAAGGCUAAAACUCAAAGGAAUUGACGGGGCCCCGCACAAGCGGCGGAGCAUGCGGAUUAAUUCGAUGCAACGCGAAGAACCUUACCUGGGUUUGACAUAUAUCGGAAACGUUCAGAGAUGGGCGCCCCGUAAGGUCGGUAUACAGGUGGUGCACGGUCGUCGUCAACU
rnacentral:rRNA from 1 species